UACAGGGGGGGCAAGCGUUGUUCGGAAUUACUGGGCGUAAAGGGCUCGUAGGUGGCCAACUAAGUCAGACGUGAAAUCCCUCAGCUUAACUGGGGAACUGCGUCUGAUACUGGAUGGCUUGAGUUUGGGAGAGGGAUGCGGAAUUCCAGGUGUAGCGGUGAAAUGCGUAGAGAUUUGGAGGAACACCAGUGGCGAAGGCGACUUUCUGGUCUGUAACUGACACUGAGGCGCGAAAGCGUGGGGAGCAAACAGG
rnacentral:rRNA from 1 species